UCUUGCUGACGACCGGCGCACGGGUGCGUAACGCGUAUACAAUCUACCUAUUACUAAGAGAUAGCCCAGAGAAAUUUGGAUUAAUAUUUUAUGGUAUUACGAUUUGGCAUCAGGUUGUAAUUAAAGGUUACGGUAAUAGAUGAGUAUGCGUCCUAUUAGCUAGAUGGUAAGGUAACGGCUUACCAUGGCGACGANNGUAGGGGUCCUGAGAGGGAGAUCCCCCACACUGGUACUGAGACACGGACCAGACUCCUACGGGAGGCAGCAGUGAGGAAUAUUGGACAAUGGGAGCAAUCCUGAUCCAGCCAUGCCGCGUGCAGGAAGACUGCCCUAUGGGUUGUAAACUGCUUUUAUACAGGAAGAAAAAGGUGUACGAGUACACUGUUGACGGUACUGUACGAAUAAGGAUCGGCUAACUCCGUGCCAGCAGCCGCGGUAAUACGGAGGAUCCAAGCGUUAUCCGGAAUCAUUGGGUUUAAAGGGUCCGUAGGCGGGAUGAUAAGUCAGUGGUGAAAGUCUGCAGCUUAACUGUAGAAUUGCCAUUGAUACUGUUGUUCUUGAGUGCUUGUGAAGUGGUUAGAAUGAGUAGUGUAGCGGUGAAAUGCAUAGAUAUUACUCAGAAUACCGAUUGCGAAGGCAGAUCACUAACAAUACACUGACGCUGAUGGACGAAAGCGUAGGUAGCGAACAGGAUUAGAUACCCUGGUAGUCUACGCCGUAAACGAUGGUUACUAGCUGUUCGGACUAAUUGAGGUCUGAGUGGCUAAGCGAAAGUGAUAAGUAACCCACCUGGGGAGUACGUUCGCAAGAAUGAAACUCAAAGGAAUUGACGGGGGCCCGCACNAGCGGUGGAGCAUGUGGUUUAAUUCGAUGAUACGCGAGGAACCUUACCAGGGCUUAAAUGCAUUUUGACAGGGGUGGAAACAUCUUUUCCUUCGGGCAAAUUGCAAGGUGCUGCAUGGUUGUCGUCAGCUCGUGCCGUGAGGUGUCAGGUUAAGUCCUAUAACGAGCGCAACCCCUUUGGUUAGUUGCCAGCGAGUAAUGUCGGGAACUCUAGCCAUACUGCCAGUGUAAACUGAGAGGAAGGUGGGGAUGACGUCAAAUCAUCACGGCCCUUACGUCCUGGGCUACACACGUGCUACAAUGGUAGGGACAGAGAGCAGCCACUGGGUGACCAGGAGCGAAUCUACAAACCCUAUCACAGUUCGGAUCGCAGUCUGCAACUCGACUGCGUGAAGCUGGAAUCGCUAGUAAUCGCAUAUCAGCCAUGAUGCGGUGAAUACGUUCCCGGGCCUUGUACACACCGCCCGUCAAGCCAUGGAAGCUGGGAGUACCUGAAGUCGGUCGCCGCAAGGAG
rnacentral:rRNA from 1 species